UUUUUUUUUUUUUUUUUUUUUUUUUUUUUUUUUUUUGAGAUUUGACAAAACCACCGCUGCAAGUCUGAAAAU
rnacentral:ribozyme from 1 species